UACGUAGGGGGCUAGCGUUGUCCGGAAUCAUUGGGCGUAAAGAGCGUGUAGGCGGCCCGGUAAGUCCGCUGUGAAAGUCGGGGGCUCAACCCUCGGAUGCCGGUGGAUACUGUCGGGCUUGAGUGCGGAAGAGGCGAGUGGAAUUCCUGGUGUAGCGGUGAAAUGCGCAGAUAUCGGGAGGAACACCAAUGGCGAAGGCAGCUUGCUGGGACGGUACUGACGCUGAGACGCGAAAGCGUGGGGAGCAAACAGG
rnacentral:rRNA from 1 species